GUUGAUUGGGCCUUGAAGCUCAUCUCAGCUUCACGAAGGAAGAAUCGAUCAGGCACUGGUCAGCGACGUCUCUCCGUAAGCUCCCCUUGCUCCCCACUCUCGGCCUCCCCCACCCUAGCCGCACACUCUUCCUUCCCACUCUUGGCUUAACCUAGCCGCACGAGUGAAGGCGGAUCUAGCACCUUGGCAGUGGCAAUGAUGAAUCCUCCUCCUUCCAAGCAGCGUGGAUCAGUGCCAUGGCGACCUAGCGCGCUCCCUUCCCGACCUUGACCUCGAAGAACGGCUUCCCCAAGAUCGCUUUCCCGUUCGUGUAUGAUUUCCUUCUUCCAUCAAACAAUCACUCCUAAUGUCAUCUCAAUCUCAAUUUUGCAGAGGUGUUGCUAUAUUGGAUGUGGUGAAUUUAUUUGGGCAGAUCCUGGAGAUAGGGAGGGGGAGGUUGUGGCUGCGGGCAAUGGCAAACACAACCAACAGAGGCAUGGUGCUCUCCGCUGGUUCUACUCCCUGGUUGAACAAGCUCCUGAUCCAUGUUACAAGACAGGUGAAUAGCAAUGAAUUUCAGAGAUAAAGAUUGAGCUUUGAGGAAACAGGCCUUGACAAGGAUUGGCUGAAUUAUAGUCGUGAUUUUCUGCUUUUCAGAGCAUUUUGCUGCCGAAUUGAAUACUAUUUGGAAAUUUCUCAUAGUAAUAUUGUUUGUUCCACUCCUUUUAUUAUUCUAUGAAGAGGAAUAAAGAAUCAAAUUGUUGUUUACUUCAGCAAUGUCAUGCCCCUGUCGUCCGGCCUCCGCGCUGGUUUAAGGUGACUGCUUUUUACAAUCUGAAAGCGAAAAGGGAGCUAUACACAACCGCUCCAUAUAUUUUUGGAGAUACGGGAAGUAUCAAAGGUGAGGUGUAUUUCGUACAAGGUUUGAUGAGGACAUCAAUACAAUUGUUACACCCACAACUCCUGCUGCUAUAAAUACUGGACCAAUUACUAGAGCUCGCGCACGCCAACUAAAUUACCAGGUACUUUCGUUUCUUGGUAAUGAUUCUAAUGUUCAUGAGAAUAUGAUGCUGCCUAAAUUGGAUACAUUUGUUUUGUUUACAAAUGAAGGGCCUAGCUUGGAGAAGGAUGAACAUUGGAUUAAGAACAAGCAUGAAGAUGAUGGCAUGCGCAAGGGGAACAAGAACGGAGUUACAAGUGAUGAUUUCAGGACUUUGAAGCCACCAUAAUGGGUGCAUGAAGCCUUGGACGAAAUAUACAAGAUGCCACUUCAUAAAUUUCGUCCCGAGGCUAUUAUAGGUGCUGCGUCACCUUAUUAUUGGGCCAGGCCCAUGUAAUUUCGAAAUACAUAAGUAUAGGCUAUUUUUAGAGUCCGUAUGUGUGGGGAAACAAGAGAUAGGGUUGAUUUCGGACCCCUCCACCAAGGGUCACGAAAUUCCCCCCUCUUCCUCCAUAUAUACAGCCCUUAGGGCAUCGUUUAGACUUUGGGUUUUGUUUAGAUUAAAAGUUCGCCAUAGCUGCAACUUCGCAUACUUCGUUUGUGUUCAACGACCAGACAAAGGCGUCACAGAACCCCACCUUGAUCAAUAAAGUUUUCAUCUUAUAUUCGC
rnacentral:rRNA from 1 species